AGGACCUGGAUAUAGAGGAAUAUAACACCAGGAGGUUCCAUUUUGCUGAACACAUACCGCCAUCAAGACAGAGCAAGAGCCUCAAUGAGAGUCAUGAGAAGAUCAGCAAGCUCCAAGCCUGGUGCAAGUUCCAAGACAAGUUCAUUGGUAAGUGCUUCAAGAUGUACAAAUCCAUGCAGAAGAAGUUGAACCGCUCCUCUACUAGCACUACUGCACCA
rfam:Arabidopsis lyrata subsp. lyrata unplaced genomic scaffold ARALYscaffold_8, whole genome shotgun sequence.